UCGCUCUGCGCUCUGCCCGUCAGCACUCAGCUGUUGCUGCUGCUGCCUGGGCUUUUCCUGCUGCCUGCUCUGGAGCACCAACCCCAGCAGGAUGAGCACUGCUGCGCCAGUGGAGACUAACAGAGACACUGUGGUGGCGAUGGAAGUGGACAUGGUGCUGAAUGAGGAAGAAAGGAUGCAGGUGGAUGUGGAAGACCAGGUUGAGGAGAUGGAAGUUGAUGAGGAGGAUGACAUCGAGGAGAUGGAAGUGGAUGAGAAGGAUGAGGAGGAGCCCAUGGUCCUUGGAUGAAGAUGGAGCCCCACAAGACUGCUGGAGAUGAUGGCCGUACCUAUUACACCUGUGUAUAUAUGUUUGAAUAGUUAGGAUAUUUUUGCAAAUAUGUUCUUAGGUUAGUAGUUCUCUGUAAAUAUGUUUUGAAGAUUGUUAGUCCAUAGUAUCCCAUGGAAAUAAAUCCUGUAGAUUGUUACUGUUGUUGUUGUUGUUGUUGUUGUUAUAAGGAUUGUUGUAAUGAAAGGUGUUCUGUAAAUCCUAGAGUUUGGCAAUCUUUGGCAAAUAAAUACGGCUUCUUUUUAAAACCUCA